rnacentral:rRNA from 1 species
AAACCCGAAGGUCGAAGGGAGAAAUUCAUUCGCGUUUCGACGCAGGCGUGGGACGGGGUCUCGAGCGACGGGACGCGUUCUCUUCGCGACGAACGGGUCUCGCGCCCUCCGUUCCUUCGAACCGGCGGCNAACGCGUGCACUUUUCUCCUGGUAGGACGUCGCGAUCCGUCGGGUGUCGGUCUACNACUUGCGGUGGAGACCGUCCGUCGUCUUUCGUACGUACGGACGGACCCGCUCGUUCCGGCCGGCUCGCUCGACGGUACACACACACACGUACGGUCGGAGGCCGCUCGAAUUUAGGAGCGUUCGACUCGUCGCAAGCGCGCCACGUGCGUCGGCACGCGGACCCGGUGCCGCGUCCGACCUCUGGUGACUGUUGGCGACGAUGUUCUCGGACAGACCUCUUUUCUUUUUUUUUUUUGUUGUUUUGCAAAAUGCAACAGAGAGAGAGAGAGAGAAAGACCGAUCGGCGACGCUAUAGCUUUGGGUACUUUCAGGACCCGUCUUGAAACACGGACCAAGGAGUCUAGCAUGUACGCGAGUCAUUGGGAAUCACUAAACCUAAAGGCGUAAUGAAAGUGAAGGUCUUCCCCGCGAAGACCGAGGGAAGACGGACGGGGUCGUAUUAUAUUAUCGAAUGUGGUGCGACGAUCGUCCCGCAUUCCCGGGGCGUCUCGUUCACAUCGCACGUGAAGAGGCGCACCAAGAGCGUACACGCUGGGACCCGAAAGAUGGUGAACUAUGCCUGGUCAGGACGAAGUCAGGGGAAACCCUGAUGGAGGUCCGAGC